GAUCUACCAUGAAAGACUUGUGAAUCCAGGAAGAGAGACUGACUGGGCAACAUGUUAUUCAGGGUCUCCCUCUGUUGUCCAAGGCUGGAGUGUAGUAGUGCUAUCGCAGCUGACUGCAGCCUCAACCUUCCAGGCUGAAGCGAUCCUCCCACCUCAACCUCCCACGUGGCUGAGACUACAGGUGCUUGCCACUAUGCCCAACUAACAUUUGGAAUUUUCGUAUACGUGGAUUCCAGAGGGGUGACAGCGAAACGUGGGACCAUCCAGUUGCAGGAAAACAAGCUUAACACGCCCACUAAUUCUACAUUAUGCUCCUACCUCCCGGCAGCCUCUCCAGGCCCAGAACUUUCUCCAGUCAGCCUCUACAGACCAAGCUCAUGACUCACAAUGGCCUAUUUAGGCCCAUACCCUACGUCACGGCAGCCUCCGCAGAUGAGGCUACUGCCUCACAACAGCCUCCACAGGCACAGCUCCAUCGUUACAAUGGCCUCUUUAGACCCAGCUCCUGCCUCCCAGCCUUCUCUCCAGGCCCUGAACUUUCUCAAGUCGACCUCACCAGGCCCAGCUCAUGCUUCUUUGCAGCCUCUCCAGGCCCAGCUCCUGCAUCUUGGUGGCCCCUCCAGGCCCAGCCUCUGCCUCCCGUCGGCCUCUGCAGUCCCAACGUCUGCCUCACAGCAGAUUCUUCACGCCCAGCAUCUACCUCACUGUGGACCCCCCAAGCCAAGCUCCCAACCUUUCAGCAGCUU
rnacentral:lncRNA from 1 species